UUGGGGAGUGAGGUCAGUGGGAAGGCUGUACUUGCCUCCAUCUGGGCUUGUCUGGGGCUGGGGCAUGCAGGUGGCCAGAAGGACAGAUGGGAGGAUGCGGCUGCGAGCAUCUCCUGUGCACCUGAAUGACUUCUGGUGUUAUUAUUUGAUCCUGUGCGAACUGAAUGAUUUAAGGCUGUGGAAUUUUGCUCCUCCCAGAGAAAGGAACCAAGUGGCCAGCUCAGCGCCCUGGCUGCUGAGGUUCACUGCUCCUCCCCACCUCUCUCCUCCUGCUGCUCCUUUUGGGAUAACAAUGGCAGGAUCCAGAUGCUUAUCUGACGCUCCCACUGCCGCCCUCGGCUGAAGCACAGCGGCUGUGCAGGGGCAGCAAGCCCAGUCCCGUUAGGAUCAGGCUAUAGAGUAAGAAUUCACUGGGAUUAGGUGUUACUGAACAGGAGGCACCGCAGUGAAAUGGCAGAUUUCGCAUGUGAAUGGUACUAAUGCAAUCCCACAGCAGCCACAGCUCCAGUACACAUGGAUUUGUCACCUGUUGAUAAAUCACUAAAAUACAGGCCAAAACUAAGCUGUGCAAAGGACAUAGAAAUAGAAGAAAAGAAGCCUUGCUGCUGAGCUGCAGCUCCUGCUUGAGAUUUCCUUUCCCUGUACCCAUGCCCUGAGGACUGGCAUUUCCAGCGUCCACAUAUUGUGAUUAUGCAUCACAGUCUGUAUUUCCCUGAAGAUAACCAGGAAACAUGUAAUUAUCAACCUCAUCUUGAACUAAGAGCCACAACAGCCCCAAGGGUCCUUAUCAAAUGAACCAAGUGAGUUUUUGGAACCAGAUUUUCUGAACAGCACAGCCCCAAAGUGCUGGAUAGGGACAAACCCAGCUCCAGUGUGGCAGAGUUGGGCUGCAUGGGAUAUGUGCAUGGUUAUGUGAAUAGAUUUAUGGGAGAUAUUGGGAAGAAUCUCUGGAUUUUGAAUUUUCUUUGACAUGGGUCAGCGCUCAGCAGUGAGGUUUUGGAGCAGCAGUGCCAGGUACUUUUCCUACAGCCCUGGGGAGUAGCAUGCCAGGUUCUCUACGCCAGUAUUCUUCCCACUGAACCCCGCUGGCUUUCCAGAGAGGGGAUUGCUGUUGGCUUCUUAUUUUUAUUUAAUGUGAUAUUUUGCUACGUGGGGCCAUAAGGGAGCACACAGUGGAUACAGCAGCAGGGCUGCCCUGAGUACACGAUAGCAGUAGAAAACUGCUGAUGCUUUCCUGUAUUGUGGGGUGCCUCCCUGCAGGAAAUAGCGCUUUGUGGUGCGGAGUGCUUCGCCUUCCUGCGUGGCCCCUCUGCUGAGCACUGGGAAAGUUGGGGUGUACCCAUGGCUGGGGAAAGGGAGCGUAAUGCUGAGGGGCUGCAGGAGCCCCACUUCCCAAAAAGCCCUCCAAGGUCCACCAGACUGCCCCGUUAUAUAAAGAUGUGUUAAAGGAUUCAAUCUGCAGAUGCUGUCGGCUCACAGCAUGAUGAGCAGUGAUUUAACCAUGGCAGCAGAGAUGCAGCUGACUGCUGAUUGCUUCGCCACUCUCUCACUGGUGCCACGGAGUCACCGCAUGCAAGGAGGGUGUGUUCAGCUUUUCCUGUGCCACCUCCCUCUGGGGACCAUGAUGCUCCCCUUCCAAGCACGUUUCUCAGAGACAAAGCCUGAAGAAAUGGUGCCAGAGCAAUGAAAAUGCCCUGCAAACCCGAGCACUGCCUGCACACAUGGUUCUUAAUGUGCGGCACGCCUUUCCAUCAAGCUAAACAAUGCUGACCAUCAUUUCCAGGACAGACUGCCUUCGGUAACACCUUAAUAAACUUUUCC
rnacentral:lncRNA from 1 species